CGUGCAGGCGGUUCGGUAAGUUGGGCGUGAAAUCUCCUGGCUUAACUAGGAGAAGUCGUUCAAUACUACCGGGCUAGAGAGCAGUAGAGGAAGAUGGAAUUCCCGGUGUAGUGGUGAAAUGCGUAGAUAUCGGGAGGAACACCAGUGGCGAAGGCGGUCUUCUGGACUGUUUCUGACGCUCAGGCGCGAAAGCUAGGGUAGUAAACGGGAUUAGAGACCCCGGUAAUCCUAGCUGUAAACGAUGUGAACUUGGCGUCGGUGGCUUAAACACCAUCGGUGCCGCAGCUAACGCGAUAAGUUCACCGCCUGGGGACUACGAUCGCAAGAUUAAA
rnacentral:rRNA from 1 species